rnacentral:lncRNA from 10 species
GAUCUUGGGGACUCCGGCAGCGCGUUAAGGGAAGUCCUGCUGGUCGAAUGCGACCUGGACAUGGCGUGGGAGCGCCGAGCUGUCCCCUUGUGGAUGGGGAGCUUUCGUUCACUCAGCAGACGUUUAUGGGGCGCAUGCGUGACUCUGGGGCGUUUAGCUGAGCCGGAGGCCCCGGCUCUUGGGGACGCGGUGGGCUGGCGGCGUCGGAUCACCCCGCCAUCCAUCUCACCACUCCCAGCGCUGAGCCCGGGGGGCGGGGAGAGUCCCUCAUGGGAAGGGGAGGCCGUGUGCCCCGCCUGGCUCCCACCACGUUCGCAGGCCGGCCGGGCGCCCCUCGCAGCCCCCUCUCCGGCCUCGCGGUGGCGCCGCUCCCCCCUUAGCGCCCAGCGGGGUCCCGGCCGGAAGACUGAAGGCUGAGUGGGACUGGGCACGGCGCGAAACCGGCAUCCUGAUAACUAGGAUUUACAGAAUAAGGCUGACUCCUGUCAGCUCGUGACCCAGCCCUGGGCGUCCUCCACGGGGCAGCUGUCAUUCCCUAACCGCCCCCCACCAAACCCCUGCACCUCCGAGCUGAAUCCGUGAGGCGGAGAGAGGGGGCUGCACUUCCCACGUGGUAGUUCCGGUACUCGUUAAUGUUAAGGAAUUAGAGUUUGCUUUUCAGUAGACAGCUGCUUUCCUGACUGUGGUGGCCAACCUCUAGAUCCACCUGCUUGACUUCGCUUUCCAGGGAGGUCUCCUAUGUGAAGAAACAAAGCUGCCUCACUAGAAAAGAUCAGGAAACAGCAGCGUUCUGUGAGGUCCUGUGCAAUACCAGGUUGGACCUUGCGGGACAAGUACAGUGGGUUAAGGAUAGUCAUAAUGAAAUCUGCCCCAAUGGUUAGAUGUAUUUUGGCGCCUGCAAUCUCUGCAGUCUUUAAAAAGAAUUAAGUCAGACUAUGUGCUGAUAUGGGAAGAUCAUCAAGGGUUAUUAAGCACAGAAUGCUGUAUACAUAUAGUUGUAUUUGUAUAAAAAAUAGGAUCUAGAUAGAAAAUUUUUGCAAAGAUCCAUCAGAAAAUGUCUGUGGCAUUUUUGAGACAUGGGUCUAGGAAUUUGGGGUGGAUUGGUGACUCGGUAUGUCAGUAUGCAUUGUACUCUUUGGUACUGUUUAAUUUUUUUUUCCUAUGUGCGUUUAAAAUAUAAAUUUAGGCCGGGCGCGUGGCUCACGCCUGUAAUCCCAGCACUCUGGGAGGCCGAGGCGGGCGGAUCACGAGGUCAGGAGAUCGAGACCAUCCUGGCUAACAGAGUGAAACCCCUUAUUAAAAAUACAAAAAAAAAAAAAAAAUUAGCCGGACGUGGUGGCGGGCGGCUGUAGUCCCAGCUACUUGGGAGGCUGAGGCAGGAGAAUGGCGUGAACCCGGGAGGCAGAGCUUGCAGUGAUCUGAGAUUGCGCCACUGCACUCCAGCCUGGGUGACAGAGUGAGACUCCAUCUCAAAAUAAAAUAAAAUAAAAAUAAAUAAAUAAUAUGUAAAUUUAAAAAAGAAAAGCAGGCCGGGGUUUGUGGCUCACGCCAAAGGCGUGAGCCAAAUUCCAGCACUUUGGGAGGCCAAGGCAGGUGGAUCACCUGAGGUCAGGAGUUCAAGACCAGCCUGGCCAACAUGGUGAAACUCCAUCUCUACUAAAAAUACAAAAAUUAGCCGGGCAUGGUGGCGGGCACCUGUAAUCCCAGCUACUCGGGAGGCUGAGGCAGGAGAAUCGCUUGAACCUGGGAGGCAGAUGUUACAGUG